ACGGGUGAGUAACACGUGGGUGAUCUGCCCUGCACUUUGGGAUAAGCCUGGGAAACUGGGUCUAAUACCGAAUAUGACCACGCUCUUCAUGGGGUGUGGUGGAAAGCUUUUGCGGUGUGGGAUGGGCCCGCGGCCUAUCAGCUUGUUGGUGGGGUAAUGGCCUACCAAGGCGACGACGGGUAGCCGGCCUGAGAGGGUGGCCGGCCACACUGGGACUGAGAUACGGCCCAGACUCCUACGGGAGGCAGCAGUGGGGAAUAUUGCACAAUGGGCGCAAGCCUGAUGCAGCGACGCCGCGUGAGGGAUGACGGCCUUCGGGUUGUAAACCUCUUUCACCAGGGACGAAGCGCAAGUGACGGUACCUGGAGAAGAAGCACCGGCCAACUACGUGCCAGCAGCCGCGGUAAUACGUAGGGUGCGAGCGUUGUCCGGAAUUACUGGGCGUAAAGAGCUCGUAGGUGGUUUGUCGCGUUGUUCGUGAAAACUCACAGCUUAACUGUGGGCGUGCGGGCGAUACGGGCAGACUAGAGUACUGCAGGGGAGACUGGAAUUCCUGGUGUAGCGGUGGAAUGCGCAGA
rnacentral:rRNA from 1 species